GACGGGGCCCGCACAAGCGGCGGAGCAUGUGGAUUAAUUCGAUGCAACGCGAAGAACCUUACCUGGUCUUGACAUCCCGGAGACCCUUAGGAAACUAGGGGGUGCUUCCAUCUGGAAGAAUCUGGAGACAGGUGCUGCAUGGCUGUCGUCAGCUCGUGUCGUGAGAUGUUGGGUUAAGUCCCGCAACGAGCGCAACCCUUGCCUUUAGUUGCCAGCAGUUCGGCUGGGCACUCUAAAGGGACUGCCGGUGUUAAACCGGAGGAAGGUGGGGAUGACGUCAAGUCCUCAUGGCCUUUAUGACCAGGGCUACACACGUACUACAAUGGCCGAUACAAAGGGCAGCGACACUGCGAGGUGAAGCCAAUCCCGUAAAAUCGGUCUCAGUCCGGAUUGGAGUCUGCAACUCGACUCCAUGAAGUUGGAAUCGCUAGUAAUCGUGGAUCAGCAUGCCACGGUGAAUACGUUCCCGGGCCUU
rnacentral:rRNA from 1 species